rnacentral:rRNA from 1 species
AGGACGAACGCUGGCGGCGUGCUUAACACAUGCAAGUCGAGCGGUAAGGCCCUUUCGGGGGUACACGAGCGGCGAACGGGUGAGUAACACGUGGGCGACCUGCCCUUAGCUCUGGGAUAAGCCUGGGAAACUGGGUCUAAUACCGGAUAUGACCUCGCGAUGCAUGUCGUGGGGUGAAAGCCUUGUGCGGCUAGGGAUGGGCCCGCGGCCUAUCAGCUUGUUGGUGGGGUGAUGGCCUACCAAGGCGACGACGGGUA